CCUACGGGAGGCAGCAGUGGGGAAUUUUGGACAAUGGGGGCAACCCUGAUCCAGCCAUUCCGCGUGAGUGAAGAAGGCCUUCGGGUUGUAAAGCUCUUUCAGCAGGAACGAAACGGUGGCCCCUAAUACGGGUUACUAAUGACGGUACCUGAAGAAGAAGCACCGGCUAACUACGUGCCAGCAGCCGCGGUAAUACGUAGGGUGCGAGCGUUAAUCGGAAUUACUGGGCGUAAAGCGUGCGCAGGCGGUUAUGUAAGACAGGUGUGAAAUCCCCGGGCUUAACCUGGGAACUGCGCUUGUGACUGCAUAACUUGAGUGUGGCAGAGGGGGGUGGAAUUCCACGUGUAGCAGUGAAAUGCGUAGAGAUGUGGAGGAACACCGAUGGCGAAGGCAGCCCCCUGGGUCAACACUGACGCUCAUGCACGAAAGCGUGGGGAGCAAACAGGAUUAGAUACCCUGGUAGUCCACGCCCUAAACGAUGCGAACUAGGUGUUGGGGAAGGAGACUUUCUUAGUACCGCAGCUAACGCGUGAAGUUCGCCGCCUGGGGAGUACGGUCGCAAGAUUAAAACUCAAAGGAAUUGACGG
rnacentral:rRNA from 1 species